AUUGAACGCUGGCGGCAGGCCUAACACAUGCAAGUCGAACGAGUGGCGGACGGGUGAGUAAUGUCUGGGAAACUGCCUGAUGGAGGGGGCUAAGUACUGGAAACGGUAGCUAAUACCGCAUACCAUCGGAUGUGCCCUGAUGGGAUUAGCUAGUGGGUGGGGUAACGGCUCACCGAGGCGACGAUGCCUAGCUGGUCUGAGAGGAUGACCAGCCACACUGGAACUGAGACACGGUCCAGACUCCUACGGGAGGCAGCAGUGGGGAAUAUUGGGCAAUGGGCGCAAGCCUGAUGCAGCAAUGCCGCGUGUAUGAAGAAGGCCUUCGGGUUGUAAAGUACUUUCAGCGGGGAGGCGUUACCCGCAGAAGAAGCACCGGCUAACUACGUGCCAGCCGCCGCGGUAAUUC
rnacentral:rRNA from 1 species